GACAGAGGGGGCAAGCGUUGCUCGGAAUCACUGGGCGUAAAGGGCGCGUAGGCGGGAUGGCAAGUCGGUCGUGAAAUCCUUCGGCUCAACCGAAGAACGUCGGCCGAUACUGCCGUUCUUGAGGGAUGCAGAGGAGAUUGGAAUUCCCGGUGUAGCGGUGAAAUGCGCAGAUAUCGGGAAGAACACCCGUGGCGAAGGCGGUUCUCUGGGACGGUACUGACGCUGAGACGCGAAAGCGUGGGGAGCGAACAGG
rnacentral:rRNA from 1 species